GAAAGUUGUGAGAAAUCUAGGGGGUGUGUGGGAGCCUGGAGACAACUCUAUCGGAGAGGUCUCUCCAGGCUUUGCCGCUAUCCAUGGUUUGAAUAGCACCUUUGGUUCGGCCUAUUCAUGUUUUUUUGCCCAAAAAAGUGGAUAAUGUUAUUCCACCGGAAUACCACUCCAUGGUUUCGUGAUAGGCCAAUCUCCGUCGGACUUGAAAUGUUUGCAACUCAUUCGAGUUAAAUAGAAAUAUUUUGAGGUCCACGAAUAAAGACGUCUUCCCAAGUGAUUCUACAAAUUCCUAGCACUUGUGCGAAACCUAUGCCUCUGCAAAACCCUAGUGUCGUAUCUCCUUCGCCAUUGCAUCUGCAUGCCAUCGAUCUCCUUCGCAAUUGAGCCUGAGGCCGUCUUCUGCAACGACAAGUGCCUCUUCAUUUCCUGCCAAAUUGAGAUUAAUUUUAACCCUAUUCCCAUCAUGCUUUUCCCUCAUUUUGGAUCCUGGUUUUUAAACUCUCUUAUAUGUUGAAAUGUGCCACAUAAUUAUAGAAUGUUUGAUGCUUAAUUGCUUCCCAAAUAGAUGAUGCGAAAUUAGCUUAUAUCUUAAUGGCAUCCUGGAAGGCUUCCCAUGAUAUGUAGCUACGACUUUGGCUGUAAACCAGGCAAACAUGAGCUUGAUAUAUAGCUUGUCAUAGUCAAAUCAAUUAUGCACUGAUAAUGCUUGCUUUUGGUGGAGGAGAAGAUUGAAUUUGAAGUGUUUGAUGAAUUUUCAAAGUGAUGUAUAAUUUGACAAUGCAAUCUGUAUGGUGUUGUAUUUUUAAGUACUUAAGCAUUGUCAUGUGUUUAAUCAAUCUCCUUGUAUCUUAUAUUUGGACUUAGUCAAGGGAUAGAUUAGAGUUGCAAUUUUCAUUUUUAGGUAUAAGAGAAGCCAAUUGUGGGGGCUGAAAAUUGUAUUUGACUAUUUGUUGAUGCAAGAUUCAUGUAAUUGAAGUAAUUAUUGUAUUGUA